CUGUAGGAGAGUAGUGUUACCUUGUAUUUAUAUCCCCAUAUUAUAUAUACCACAUUUUCUAAACUCUCUCUCCCUCUCUCUCUCUCUCUCUGGUUUUCUGUUUGUCUUCCGAGAAAGAUAAAAAAGAAAAAACGUAAGGUGAAAAGUUUAUAAUUUGGCUUCUUAAUAUCGUAUUCCCUCCCACCUUAGGUUGCUAAGAGAAUCACGAUAAUUUUCGCAAUAUAACUUUCUCCUUGUGUGCUCUUUUGAGUCUGGCUUACAAAAAAGCUUGUCCCGGAGGACUUUGGUGGCUAUUAGACGACUUAACGAUCUCUUUGAAUUUGGCUGCGAAAGGUGAUCUGUUCAGAGCUUCGGAUUAGAAUUCUUGUUUGAUUACCUUGGGCUUUGAAUCGCAGUUUGAAGCAUGAUUUGUGGUUGAAGAGGGAAAGAGUUUUUGACGGAGAUGAAGAGGUCCAGAGAAGACGUUUUUAUGACCUCACAACUCAAGCGGCCUAUGGUUUCCUCUCGAGGAGAGCCUUCGGGGCAACCCCAGAUGAUGGGCGGAGCAGCUGCCCAGAAACUAACAACAAGUGAUGCCUUAGCAUAUCUAAAGGCUGUGAAGGAUAUAUUUCAAGACAACAGGGAUAAAUACGAAGAAUUUCUUGAAGUCAUGAAAGACUUUAAGGCCCAAAGAAUUGACACUGCGGGUGUGAUAGAGAGGGUGAAGGAUUUAUUUAAAGGGCAUCGAGAGCUAAUUUUAGGUUUCAAUACCUUCUUGCCAAAGGGAUAUGAAAUCACCCUCCCACUUGAGGACGAGCAACAGCCUCCUCAAAAGAAGCCUGUUGAAUUUGAAGAAGCUAUCAAUUUCGUGAACAAGAUUAAGACCCGAUUUCAAGGCGAUGACCAUGUUUAUAAAUCUUUUUUAGACAUUCUGAAUAUGUACAGAAAGGAAAACAAGUCCAUCACAGAGGUUUACCAGGAGGUUGCAGCACUUUUCCAAGAACACUCAGACUUACUUGUGGAGUUUACUCACUUUUUACCUGAUACUUCAGGAACAGCCUCCAUUCACUUUGCUCCAUCGCAUAGAAACGCAAUGCUCCGUGAUAGGAGCUCUGCUAUGCCCCCUAUGCGGCAAAUGCAUGUUGACAAGAAAGAAAGGACCAUGGGUUCUUAUGCUGACCACGAUCUCAGUGUUGACCGUCCUGAUCCUGACCAUGAUAGAGCUCUGAUGAAAGUGGACAAAGAGCAAAGGAGGCGUGGUGAGAAGGAGAAGGAGAGGAGAGAAGAUAGAGAAAGACGAGAACGUGACCGGGAUGAUAGAGAUUUCGACCAUGAUGGCAGUAGGGACUUCAACAUGCAACAUUUUCCCCACAAACGGAAAUCUGCUCGUAGGACUGAAGACUUGGCUACUGAACAAUUGCAUCCAGGUGGGGAAGGCGAUGAAAACUUUGCAGAACAUCUCAUUUCAUCCUCUUAUGAUGAUAAAAAUUCUGCCAAAAGUAUGUAUGGCCAGGAGUUUGCUUACUGUGACAAGGUGAAGGAGAAGUUACGAAAUCCUGAUGAUUACCAGGAAUUUCUGAAGUGCCUCCAUAUUUUUAGCAAGGAAAUUAUUACAAGAUCCGAAUUGCAGUCUCUGGUGGGUGAUUUACUUGGAAGGUAUCCAGAUCUUAUGGAUGGGUUUGAUGAAUUUUUGGCAUGUUGUGAGAAGAAAGAUGGGUUCCUUGCUGGUGUCAUGAGUAAAAAGUCCUUGUGGAAUGAAGGACAUUUACCCAGAUCAGUGAAGGUAGAGGAUAGGGAUAGGGAUAGAGAUCGUGAAAGGGAUGAUGGGGUUAAAGAUAGAGAGCGUGAAACACGAGAAAGGGAUCGACUUGAGAAAAAUGGUGCGUCUGGAAAUAAAGAAGUCGGAGGCCAGAAGAUUUAUAUAUUUUCUAGCAAGGAUAAAUACUUGGCAAAACCUAUUAAUGAGCUUGACCUCUCUAACUGCGAGCGCUGUACUCCAAGCUAUCGUCUCCUUCCAAAGAAUUAUCCAAUACCUUCUGCUAGCCAAAGAACGGAGCUUGCUUCUGAAGUUUUGAAUGAUCAUUGGGUAUCCGUCACUUCUGGAAGUGAGGAUUACUCUUUUAAACACAUGCGCAAAAACCAGUACGAAGAAAGCCUGUUUCGUUGUGAGGAUGAUAGGUUUGAACUGGAUAUGUUGUUAGAGUCCGUGAAUGUAACGACCAAGCGUGUUGAAGAACUUUUAGAAAAGAUCAAUAACAAUACGAUCAAGAUGGACAGUCCAAUCCGUAUUGAAGAACACUUCACAGCUCUGAAUCUGAGGUGCAUUGAGCGAUUAUAUGGUGACCAUGGGCUUGAUGUGAUGGAUGUGUUGAGAAAAAAUGGUCCAUUAGCUUUGCCUGUUAUAUUAACCCGUUUGAAGCAAAAGCAAGAAGAGUGGGCAAGGUGUCGUUCUGAUUUUAAUAAAGUUUGGGCUGAUAUAUAUGCCAAGAACUAUCACAAGUCACUUGAUCAUCGUAGCUUCUACUUCAAGCAACAGGACACAAAGAGCUUAAGCACAAAAGCCUUGCUGGCGGAGAUUAAAGAGAUCAGUGAGAAGAAGCGGAAGGAAGAUGACGUUCUUCUCUCAAUCGCUGCUGGAAAUAGACGACCUAUUAUUCCCAAUUUGGAAUUUGAGUACCCUGAUCCUGAAAUCCAUGAAGAUCUGUAUCAACUCAUCAAAUAUUCUUGUGGAGAAGUUUGCACUACCGAGCAAUUGGAUAAAGUUAUGAAGAUAUGGACAACCUUCCUUGAACCAAUGCUUGGUGUUCCUACUCGGCCUCAAGGUGCAGAAGAUACUGAAGAUGUAGUGAAAGCGAAAAAUCAUACUGGCAAACAUGGUACUGUGAGUGCGGGAGACACUGAUGGCAGUCCUGGUGGCGGUGCUACUGCAACGAAUUCCAAACAGUUAAAUUCGUCAAGAAAUGGAGACGAAAGCAUUCAACCUGAACAGUCAAGCUCUUGCAGGACUUGGGCAGUAAAUGGGGCUAAUGGGGUUAAAGAUGAAAGUUCCCUUGACAUUGAUCGUGCUGCGUGUAAAGGUGAUACUUUCUGCAAUACCUCUCAACAAGGUAAAGUGCAGAGUAAUGCAUCUACAGCCGAUGAAGCGUCUGGAGUGAGCAAACAAGACAAUUCCAAUGAAAGAUUAGUCAAUUCUAAUUUAUCACCCCCUGGGUUGGAGCAAAGUAAUGGAAGAACUAAUCAAGAAAACUCAUCAGGGCUUAGUCCUACUCCAUCCAGACCAGGUAAUGGCACUGUUGACGGUGGGCUUGAGUUACCUUCAUCAGAGGGUGGUGAUUCCACAAGACCUGUUAUAUCCUCAAAUGGAGCAAUCGGAGAAGGCACCAAAGGUCUCAGAUAUCUUGAAGAGUCUGCUAGACACUUCAAGAUUGAAAGAGAGGAAGGUGAAAUAUCUCCAAACGGAGAUUUUGAGGAGGAUAAUUUUGCAAAUUACAGAGAAGCUGGUUUGGGGGCUGUCCAAAAACCAAAGGAUGGUGUUGUUGGCAGGCAAUAUCAAGCCAGACAUGCGGAAGAAGAAAUAUGCGGUGGAGAGACAGGGGGAGAAAAUGAUGCUGAUGCUGACGAUGAAGGUGAGGAAAGCGCUCAGAGGUCAUCAGAGGAUAGUGAAAAUGCUUCCGAGAAUGGUGAUGUUUCUGGUAGUGAGUCUGGUGAUGGAGAGGAAUGUUCUCGUGAAGAGCGUGAGGAAGAUGUGGACAAUGAUGAGCAUGAUACCAAGGCAGAGAGUGAAGGUGAAGCUGAAGGGAUGGCUGAUGCCCAUGAUGUUGAAGGAGACGGAAUAUCUUUACCGCUUUCAGAACGUUUUCUCCUGACUGUGAAGCCUCUUGCAAAGCAUGUUCCUCCAGCUUUACAUGACAAGGAGAAGGACUCUAGGGUUUUCUAUGGAAAUGAUUCGUUCUAUGUGCUUUUUAGGCUUCACCAAACACUAUAUGAGAGAAUACAAUCGGCAAAGACUAAUUCAUCAUCUGCUGAGAGGAAGUGGCGGGCUUCAAAUGAUAUGAGCCCUUCGGAUUCUUAUGCUAGAUUCAUGAAUGCACUUUACAAUUUGCUUGACGGUUCUUCUGACAAUACAAAAUUUGAGGAUGAUUGUCGAGCCAUCAUUGGGACACAAUCAUAUGUUCUAUUCACAUUAGACAAGCUGAUCUACAAGCUUGUUAAACAGCUCCAAACAGUCGCCAGUGAUGAGAUGGACAAUAAACUUGUCCAACUUUAUGCAUUUGAAAAAUCAAGAAAGCCAGGAAGAUUUGUAGAUGUGGUUUAUCACGAAAAUGCUCGAGUUCUUCUUCAUGAUGAGAACAUUUAUCGCAUUGAAUGUGUAGGCCCUUUAUGUGUCAUCCUUACCAACCCGGGUGUCUAUUCAGCUUAUGGAUUUUGGGCAUGAUAAGCCUGAAAUGACUGCUGUUUCCAUGGACCCUAAUUUUUCCGCUUAUCUGCACAAUGAAUUCCUCUCAGUUCUUCCUGACAAAAAAGAGAAGUCUGGGAUCUUCUUGAAGAGGAACAAAUGUGCGUAUGGUAGUAGUGAUGAAUUGUCUGCUAUCUGUGAGGCCAUGGAAGGACUUAAAGUCACCAAUGGUUUGGAGUGUAAGAUAGCUUGCCAUUCAUCGAAGGUCUCAUACGUUUUAGAUACAGAAGACUUCCUGUUUCGGACAAAAAGGAAAAGGAAAACUUUGCAUCGGGACAGUUCAUGCCAAAAGCUGGCCAGGUCUUCCAAUGGUUCGAGUAGAGUAGAGCGGUUUCACCUGUUGCUUUCUGGCUCAUGAUAUGCCCUAUUUUGACCAUCAAGUAAAUAUGUAGCAUUUUGCACACAUUACAUACCCUGGCGCUGGAAAUUCGAAAAAUUUGAGGCGCUGUGAGCGAAAAAAGCUUUUGUGGGAUUACCUUGUAUUCUCGUAGUUCUGUCUCUCCAACCAAAUAAAGCAUUGAGGAGGAUACGGCUCGAAAGUUGUAUACUUUGAGUUGGCACUUUGAGCCGCAUUCAUGUAAAUAUAGGUAAUUUGUGUUGUAAACUCGAGAUACAUUUUCAAUUUAUUCAUCGAUGAUUUUUGUUAAUCUUUUAUAAUUUAUUUUAUUUUGGGCGUAUUAAUUUUUAA